rnacentral:rRNA from 1 species
CUACGUGCCAGCAGCCGCGGUAAUACGAAAGGUCCAGGCGUUAUCCGGAUUUAUUGGGUUUAAAGGGUGCGUAGGCCGUUUGAUAAGCGUGCUGUGAAAUAUAGUGGCUCAACCUCUAUCGUGCAGCGCGAACUGUCGAACUUGAGUGCGUAGUAGGUAGGCGGAAUUCGUGGUGUAGCGGUGAAAUGCUUAGAUAUCACGAAGAACUCCGAUUGCGAAGGCAGCUGACGGGAGCGCAACUGACGCUKAAGCUCGAAGGUGCGGGUAUCGAACAGGAUUAGAUACCCUGGUAGUCCGCACAGUAAACGAUGGAUGCCCGCUGUUGGUACCUGGUAUCAGCGGCUAAGCGAAAGCAUUAAGCAUCCCACCUGGGGAGUACGCCGGCAACGGUGAAACUCAAAGGAAUUGACGGGGGCCCGCACAAGCGGAGGAGUAUGUGGUUUAAUUCGACGCAACGCGAAGAACCUUACCAGGUCUUGACAUUGAUGGACAGAACUAGAGAUAG